CAGAUACAAAGGGCCUGACCUUGGCCACGGAGGUCCCAAUUGUGCAGUCAUGGAACUACAGAACUGCUGGGGCUGGGUGGGUCCUGUGGAGAUGGAGCACACUCAGCAUCUUGCCCCAUCCUGAAGCCUGUCAGGAACACAAGUGCAUAGUGAAGUCUCAGGGCUGGAGUUAACAGGACCCAAAUGACCCUUCUAAGAAAGGCCCUCACCUCCUCGAAGAACUGUUGCUGUAACCUCUCGCUUUGUGGUCAGUGUGUAUGAGUGACUCAAGAAAGUGAUGUUUCAGCUAUGACUGCUGACCUUCCUCAAGGUUUCUUCCAAAUGAGUCAAAGCAAACUCUCCAAAUAUCCAGAAGAAAAGCAAUGUCAAAUCAUUGUACUUCAAAAUAACUGUCAACAUGUAUGACUAGAUUAAAUUAACCUGGAGAUUAGAUGUUGUUGUUCUGAAAUGCAUAUCAAUC
rnacentral:lncRNA from 1 species